CAGCAGCCGCGGGAAUACGUAGGGUGCAAGCAUUAUCCGGAGUGACUGGGCGUAAAGAGUUGCGUAGGCGGUUAGUAAAGUGAAUAGUGAAACCUGGUGGCUCAACCAUACAGACUAUUAUUCAAACUCACUAACUCGAGAAUGGUAGAGGUAAUUGGAAUUUCUUGUGUAGGAGUGAAAUCCGUAGAUAUAAGAAGGAACACCAAUGGCGUAGGCAGAUUACUGGACCAUUUCUGACGCUGAGGCACGAAAGCGUGGGGAGCGAACCGGAUUAGAUACCCCCGUAGUCCCUGUCUCUUAU
rnacentral:rRNA from 1 species